rnacentral:rRNA from 1 species
GACGAACGCUGGCGGCGUGCUUAACACAUGCAAGCCGAACGGAAAGGCCCUGCUUUUGUGGGGUGCUCGAGUGGCGAACGGGUGAGUAACACGUGAGUAACCUGCCCUUGACUUUGGGAUAACUUCAGGAAACUGGGGCUAAUACCGGAUAGGAGCUCCUGCUGCAUGGUGGGGGUUGGAAAGUUUCGGCGGUUGGGGAUGGACUCGCGGCUUAUCAGCUUGUUGGUGGGGUAGUGGCUUACCAAGGCUUUGACGGGUAGCCGGCCUGAGAGGGUGACCGGCCACAUUGGGACUGAGAUACGGCCCAGACUCCUACGGGAGGCAGCAGUGGGGAAUAUUGCACAAUGGGCGGAAGCCUGAUGCAGCAACGCCGCGUGCGGGAUGACGGCCUUCGGGCUGUAAACCGCUUUCGCCUGUGACGAAGCGUGAGUGACGGUAAUGGGUAAAGAAGCACCGGCUAACUACGUG